rnacentral:rRNA from 1 species
GCAAGUCGAACGGAAACAUGUCUAGCUUGCUAGAUGAUGUCGAGUGGCGGACGGGUGAGUAAUGCUUGGGAACUUGCCUUUGCGAGGGGGAUAACAGUUGGAAACGACUGCUAAUACCGCAUAAUGUCUUCGGACCAAACGGGGCUUCGGCUCCGGCGCAAAGAGAGGCCCAAGUGAGAUUAGCUAGUAGGUGAGGUAAAGGCUCACCAAGGCAACGAUCUCUAGCUGUUCUGAGAGGAAGAUCAGCCACACUGGGACUGAGACACGGCCCAGACUCCUACGGGAGGCAGCAGUGGGGAAUAUUGCACAAUGGGGGAAACCCUGAUGCAGCCAUGCCGCGUGUGUGAAGAAGGCCUUCGGGUUGUAAAGCACUUUCAGUUGUGAGGAAAAGUUAGUAGUUAAUACCUGCUAGCCGUGACGUUAACAACAGAAGAAGCACCGGCUAACUCCGUGCCAGCAGCCGCGGUAAUACGGAGGGUGCGAGCGUUAAUCGGAAUUACUGGGCGUAAAGCGCACGCAGGCGGUUUGUUAAGCUAGAUGUGAAAGCCCCGGGCUCAACCUGGGACGGUCAUUUAGAACUGGCAGACUAGAGUCUUGGAGAGGGGAGUGGAAUUCCAGGUGUAGCGGUGAAAUGCGUAGAUAUCUGGAGGAACAUCAGUGGCGAAGGCGACUCCCUGGCCAAAGACUGACGCUCAUGUGCGAAAGUGUGGGUAGCGAACAGGAUUAGAUACCCUGGUAGUCCACACCGUAAACGCCGUCUACUAGCUGUUUGUGGCUUUAAGCCGUGAGUAGCGAAGCUAACGCGAU